CCAUACGAGCUUCUACUUCUAAUCUAAUUAUUGCUUAACUUGCGUAUUUCUUUCUACACACAGAUUUCACCAUUGAGAAUAGAAGAUGUAGACCAUGGAAGCCUGACACUUUACAUCCCAAACUACCACGUAUUUUGAGAUGCAGUUUGGUGGAAAGACUGUCCACAAAGCAGGGUGAAAGAAGACUUGUCUGACGCCUUGCAGGCAAUCCCAUUUGUACCAAAUUGUUCCAUUACAAUUACUCUAAACUUCUCUAACCUUUCCGCUCCCUCAUCUGGACACUCCCCUCCUUCCCACUUAGCCUCAUUUCCAAACAGCCUCUCUUUCUUCAUAUGCUUCAUGUCCAAAAACUUCUUCCACCAAGCCCAGGAGAACAAAAUGCUGGAGUGCUGCAGAUGCAUUGCAAGAGAGUUGAGAAAGACGGGGUCCCACCAAGGGCUCAUUUGUUGAAAAAUGAGCCUGAAUAGGAAAGGCAGCUCAAGGCAACCCAGCCACGUUCUGCUGCAGAGGAGAGCAGAGAUAACAGCUCAGAGAAGGUGGCAAGAGAGGUGAGGGUGAGCCGGCUGCAGAAAGAGGGAGUGGGCUCUGCUCCUCUGCUGGCAGGGCACCAGCAGAGGAUGUGGGAGCAGCCCUCAGACACCACUAAAUGUGCAGCUGCCCCAGCCCGGAGUUUGGUGCAAAAUGUUUGCAGAGCCCAGAGCAAAUACUCAGGUAGCUAACCCAUGAGUGCCAUGCUGUCAGGACUGCCCACUUCUGAUACCUCCCAGUGUGUGCGAGGGUCAGAUAUAUCCACACAGGCUGCAAUCUCAGCUGGCCAGCAUAGCUACCCCAUAGAUGCCUUAGGAGCCUGCAUAAUUUCAGUAGAUCCUCGACUUGUCUGUGGGCCACAGCACUGAAAGAAAAGCUCAUCAGUAAUACAUGCUCCUGUUUUAUCUGCAGCAAGUCCCUUCACAUCCCACUUUUUGCAGCAGUUUGCCUUCCGCAGGGCAUUAUCAGGAGUUGGUAAAAGGCAGUCUCGCUGCUCCCCUCCAUAGUGCUGACAGCAGUGCCUGCAGCCCCUUCGGGUCGGGGGCUAAGAGAGUUCACAAGGGCGAUGCAGGCUGUUGUGAGCCAGACAGUCAGAGUUUAAUUUACUAAUAGAGAUACAAUCUAAGCGGCUACAGAUUUUCUGGGCACUUCUGCGGCUCUCCAAGCCUCUUCUGUGGCAGGGGGAGGCUGCGCUGCCUGCGCAGCAUUCACCCAAGUUUUCCAAGUGUGAAAUGUGCAGCAAAGAAAGGAACUGGGAUGCGAAAGAGUGGCAGCUGCUCCAGGGCUGUUAGAGAGGCUCUUUUACAGGCGAAUGAACCAUCAAUUUGUAGUAAGACAUUGUUUUCUAAACAUAGCAUAAAAACUGUUAUCUUGCCUGGCUGGUCAUUAGAAGAGAGAUAAUUAUAGCUUCUGUGCGACAGCCUGGUGCAGAACAGGGGCUGCAUUGUCCCAGGGCCCAGCUGAGUUCUAGCGCAGGCACCCCAGGCCAGCGCUGGGACAAGGGGGCUCCUUGUGCCCCGGCAAGUUCAAAAGAGGAAUCGAAGUGCUCUAAGUAGGUGCUAAGCACCUAUUUCGCUCUCUGUCUCAGGCCUUAAAAACUACUCCACAGGAGAAAGGUGAGGAGGGCAGAGCUGUGACUGCUGUAGCUCCAUCCUCCCUGACUUUAGAUACAACACAUACUAUGACUGUUAUUUUUCUCUCCUUAAA